ensembl:lncRNA
GGAAUCUCUGAGCGGAGACUGAAUGAAAGCAGUGUUUGUUUGCUGUGAUUGGAUCAGCUGUGAUUGGAUCAGUUACUCAGGGAGCCGAGCUAUGCGAAGGGCCCGAAACCCACUCCACCCUGAGUCAGAGGUGGAGCAUCCCUGGAGACCUGUUCUCAUGACUCACCAGCUGCUAUCUGCAAACAGCCUCUGGGGGAAAUGCCAAACAAUUCACCGAUGGAUUCUCAACAAGGUCAAGAAUGAAAGGAACAUAGGUGCCCACUGUUAGAGAAACCUGGAAGAAGCCUCAGGAUCAAGUCAUGAACUUGAGCUGAUCUCAGGCUACGACCCUCAUGGCAGAUGUCAACAAUCCAACAUCUCAGGAAGACAUGUUUAGCAGCUGGGAGCCUACUCACAGUUUGGUGGAAGAUACCUUCUCUGGGGCUGAGAUUGCAGCAGUCCCUUGCCUUCCGGUUCUGGCUGUUGCUAGCCUGCCUCUCUGCCUCCAGACUCUUACUCCAGGACAAAAGUUUCCUCUGGCAUUCUAUUUGCUGCAAGGAUAAACUCAGAUUUCUCCUGACAUUCAGAAGCCCAGCAAGCCCAUCACUCAGAAUUCUACUUUGC